rnacentral:rRNA from 1 species
GAUGAACGCUGGCGGCGUGCUUAACACAUGCAAGUCGAACGAAGCAUUUAAGACAGAUUACUUCGGUUUGAAGUCUUUUAUGACUGAGUGGCGGACGGGUGAGUAACGCGUGGGUAACCUGCCCCAUACAGGGGGAUAGCAGCUGGAAACGGCUGGUAAUACCGCAUAAGCGCACAGUACCACAUGGUACAGUGUGAAAAACUCCGGUGGUAUGAGAUGGACCCGCGUCUGAUUAGCUUGUUGGCGGGGUAACGGCCCACCAAGGCGACGAUCAGUAGCCGACCUGAGAGGGUGACCGGCCACAUUGGGACUGAGACACGGCCCAGACUCCUACGGGAGGCAGCAGUGGGGAAUAUUGCACAAUGGAGGAAACUCUGAUGCAGCGACGCCGCGUGAGUGAAGAAGUAGUUCGCUAUGGAAAGCUCCAUCAGCAGGGAAGAUAGUGACGGUACCUGACUAAGAAGCUCCGGCUAAAUACGUG